UGUUGCUGGNCNNNUGGGGGCAUGUGCACACCCCACCAUCCUCAUCUCUCCCCCUGUGCACCUCUUGUAGACUUGGGAUAAAACUUUCCGAGGCAACUCGGUCUGGAGGAAUGCUACCCCAAGCUUUCCUUGUAAUUAUUUCCUGGUCUACGUUUUUCAUAUACCCCAUAGUAUGUAACAGAAUGUAUCGUUUUGGCGCUUGUGCCUAUAAACCUUAUACAACUUUCAGCAACGGAUUUCUUGGCUCUCGCAUCGAUGAAGAACGCAGCGAAAUGCGAUAAGUAAUGUGAAUUGCAGAAUUCAGUGAAUCAUAGAAUCUUUGAACGCCCCUUGCGCUCCUUGGUAUUCCGAGGAGCAUGCCUGUUUGAGUGUCAUUAAAUUCUCAACCUUAUCAGUUUAUUUGUGAUAGUGGCUUGGAUGGUGGGGGUGCUGGCUCCUUUAUUGAGGUCAGCUCCCCUUAAAUGCAUUAGCUGGUGCCCUGUGUGGACUGUCUAUUGGUGUGAUAAUGAUCUACGCUAUGGAUGUCCUUAGCACUGCUUGUAACCGUCUGUUAAUUCGGACAAUACGAUGACAAUUUGACCUCAAAA
rnacentral:rRNA from 1 species